GCACACAGCCAGCACUCGUUGAGGUUUGCACAUGUUUGCACCCCACUCUUUCUGGCAGCCCAGGCGUCCCCUCUUUCUGAGCUGUAUUCUGUGGAGGUUGCUCUGCUAAGGAGCUGGGUGGUGGCGCAGUCAUUUUGCUGAUCUGAUGCUUCUCCCACACCCGUAAGUGGGAGUGGAGCAGGGCGUGUGGGUCCGGCUGCUGCCUCUGCCUCGGCACUUCAGAGACGGUCAUCUGCUCCUGUUCUUGCCGUUCGCGGGGUCUGCCUCCAGCAAGUUCUCCUUCAGCAUUCUGAGUGUACCACGGGACAGCUAGGUUGGUCUUGCACUCCUGAGUUCAAGCGGUCCACCCGUCUUGGCCUUCCAUGUGAUGGGAUUACAGGCGUGAGCCACCUCGCUCGGCCUGGAUACACCAGGUUCGCCCAGCCGCCUCGCCCGGCCUGGAUACACCAGGUUCGCCCAGCCGCCUCGCCAGGCCUGGAUACACCA
rnacentral:lncRNA from 1 species